UACAGAGGUCCCAAGCGUUGUUCGGAUUCAUUGGGCGUAAAGGGUGCGUAGGAGGGCAGGUAAGUCCGUGGUGAAAUCUCUGAGCUUAACUCAGAAACUGCCGUGGAUACUAUCUGUCUUGAAUCCCGUGGAGAUGAGCGGAAUAUGUCAUGUAGCGGUGAAAUGCUUAGAUAUGACAUAGAACACCAAUUGCGAAGGCAGCUCGUUACACGAAGAUUGACUCUGAGGCACGAAAGCGUGGGGAUCAAACAGG
rnacentral:rRNA from 1 species